CAACCAGAUGCUCCGCAGGGCGCAGCUUUAUACGACCGCAGAGUUCGAACCCUGAACAGUUGGGGCAAGUAUGGACACAACAUUCAAGCUUGGUACAGCUCUGAAUUUGGAUUGUGAUUAAAUAGUUGACACAACAUAGGUUUCUGACACAAAAUGAAUAUGGUCUAAGAACUUAAACUUAAUUUUUUUUAGAUUGGACAUUUACCUAUUAUGGUCCAAUAUCCAAAAUCUAAAUGCAUGGUAAG
rnacentral:lncRNA from 1 species